AUGUACCACUCGUAAACUGCGGUUCCUCCGCGCCGUCCCCAUCUACCUGGUGACUGCUCGCUACGUUUUGUCAGCC
rnacentral:sRNA from 1 species